UACGUAGGGUGCAAGCGUUGUCCGGAAUUAUUGGGCGUAAAGAGCUCGUAGGCGGUUUGUUGCGUCGGCUGUGAAAUCCCGAGGCUCAACCUCGGGUCUGCAGUCGAUACGAGCAAACUAGAGUGUUGCAGGGGAGACUGGAAUUCCUGGUGUAGCGGUGAAAUGCGCAGAUAUCAGGAGGAACACCGGUGGCGAAGGCGGGUCUCUGGGCAACAACUGACGCUGGAGGAGCGAAAGCCGUGGGGAGCGA
rnacentral:rRNA from 1 species